CCAGUUCUUCCCUGUGCCAUCGGCAGCUUCUCAUUUCAGGGUGGUGUAUGGGGAUGGGGUGCUGCCGGGUGAGUUCCAGGUGAGCGGAGGGCAGCAGCUCAUCCCGGUCCCUCGGCAGCCCAUCCCUCUCCUUGGUUCCAUGCAUUCUGCACCCUGACCGCUGCCGACCCACUGUGACCCAGGUUUGCCACCUUUAUGUUGCAGGAUUGAGCUGACCUCUGAUCUCACAUCUCUGUAGCAAGUACCUUAGGUCCUCGGCCACAAACAUUCUUGCAAAUCUGUUUGAACUGAAGACUAUAUGAAGUUGUCCCUAGCCUCCUCCUAAAGGCAUCCCUUGGCAUCUUUAAAGGCUUGAGAGAAAUACCAAAACCAACUAAACACACUCAUAAGAGAAUCCAUAAGCCCUCAAAACUUGGCAUCCCCUCUUGGUCUGAAGUUGAGUUCUUCAAAAACUCCUGUGGUAUCAAGGUUAAGGAGAUGCUGUUGUGUGUCUCCGUGGACUGGGGCUGGGCCCAAGGAGUGACUUGAGUUGUGUUUGGGGGGGCUGGGAUGUCCUCUAUGAACCUUUCUCCCUCUCCUUCAAACAGAACCCAAAUUGGAUACCAAAUUUGCAGCAAGCCUAUUAGUUAUGUGCAUCACCAUGUAUUAGCCCUGCUGUGAAUUCAGUGUUGUUUCUUUAGAGGGGUGGGUGAACUGUAGCUCUUCUCCCAGACCGGCCUGGAUCUUAUACCAGACUGCCAAAUCCCAAAUUCUUUUUAGAGCCAAAUCCCUCUGUGUCGCUGGGGAGUGGGAACUGACUAUGAUUUCAAACACUGUGUAACAUUGCUUUAUUCCAAGGAGUGGAGGCACAAGGUGGGAUCAAAGUAAGGGAGGGAAGAUGGUAGCUGACUCAAAUCUUACUUCUGUAGUUAUUUUAGCAAAGAGCUGAUCUUGCAGGUAGAAGGAAGACUGGAGAAGUGAUGAAGGUUGAUAGCUUAGCUGUUCAGUUUGUGGUGAAGGCAUAGGAGACCACACUUUGGCUGCUAUUAUCUGGAUUCACACUUCCCUGCUCUGUUCCCAAGAGGUGAGACCCAAGGAGGUAGCUAUGGCACUGUGGGUUCCCCCAGCUCAGGAUGAGACUAGGGGGGUCCUGGAAGAGACACCCUCCCCAUUUCUCUGCCCGCUUGCUGUCUCAUUGCCCUCUUAUCUUGCUAGCCCAGUGGCAUGUCCACAGGUGCCACAUCUCAGCACCUCCCCUCAGCUCUGUUGGGAUGAAUUCAGCUGGGUGUACAUGCCUGCUUCAGGCACGGCAGGCUGCAAAUGAAAGCCAGCUGGUUUGUGAGAGUGAGAAGAGGGCCCAAGUCCUCUAGUGUUGUUUCAGAAACACCAGGCUGGCUGGGAAUGUGUCCUUCAAAUUUCACUGCAGGACGACAGCCUCUUGGCUAAAGCUGCAAACAUAUCAGAAAACCAAUAGGCUGCUUUUUCUUUUUUAUUUUUUUUUCUUUCCUUUUUUUUUUUAAUUCCUAUGCAGACGAUACUUGAAACCUUGUACACAGUUGUCCUUUCCAGCGCCUGGGGUUGGCAAAUUCUUAAUAAAAGGGCUCAUUUAAAGAACAGCAGGAGGCUUCAGCUUUAGAAGAGGUUGGGCUGCCCCUUCCCAGCCAACAACUGCAAGCGUGUUCAGUGGUUUGCAUAUGAAUUUAGGCACACCCUCUGCUUCAACACCCCACUAGUACAGCCGCUGUCUCCCUUUGGUGCUGGCUAGCUGACUCUGUGUCCCAAGCACCCAACUAUGCAAAGAAUGCCUUAUAUACAUUGUGUUUGUUACAUGGCAAUAUGUACAUCCAGCAAAGUCUAUAGUUGAGUCCAGAUUUUUGCUAGUGGCAGCGAGUCAAACUAUUUCUUCAACUCAAAUGGCUGUCUGGGUAUUUUUUACUUCUGUUUCGUUUGUUUGUUUUGUAUCUGAUGGUGGCUCUUAUACGAAGGACUGUAAUUCUAGUGGCUU
rnacentral:lncRNA from 1 species